AGUGAACGCUGGCGGUAGGCCUAACACAUGCAAGUCGAACGGCAGCACAGUAAGAGCUUGCUCUUACGGGUGGCGAGUGGCGGACGGGUGAGGAAUACAUCGGAAUCUACUUUUUCGUGGGGGAUAACGUAGGGAAACUUACGCUAAUACCGCAUACGACCUACGGGUGAAAGCAGGGGAUCUUCGGACCUUGCGCGAUUGAUUGAGCCGAUGUCGGAUUAGCUAGUUGGCGGGGUAAAGGCCCACCAAGGCGACGAUCCGUAGCUGGUCUGAGAGGAUGAUCAGCCACACUGGAACUGAGACCCGGUCCAGACUCCUACGGGAGGCAGCAGUGGGGAAUAUUGGACAAUGGGCGCAAGCCUGAUCCAGCCAUACCGCGUGGGUGAAGAAGGCCUUCGGGUUGUAAAGCCCUUUUGUUGGGAAAGAAAAGCAGCAGGUUAAUACCCCGCUGUUCUGACGGUACCCAAAGAAUAAGCACCGGCUAACUUCGUG
rnacentral:rRNA from 1 species